UUCUUUAAGCACAAAUAAUUUAAAGUAAAACCUGCUCAAUGUUAACAAAUAAAUAGCCGCAGUAUCACUGUGCUAAGGUAGCAUAAUCACUUGCUUUCUAAUUAAAAGAUAGAAUGAAAGGUUAAACGGUUAAUAACUAUAUAUUAAAAACAAAUAAAAUUAAUAUCCACGUAAAAAAGCAUGGUAUAAAUAAACAAGACGACAAGACCCUGCUAAACUCACAUAUUCGGUUGGGGCAACAAAUCAAUAAUAAUUUAAUUAUAAACAAUUACAUAUCAUUAUACAAUAAAAAGAUCAGUUACUACAGGGAUAACAGCGCAAUUUCUUUCUAGAGAUCACAUCCAAAAAGAAGAUUACGACCUCGAUGUUGAAUUAAUUAAACAAAACGGCGCAAAAUCCUAAUAGUUAGUCUGUUCGACUAUUUAAAAAUU
rnacentral:rRNA from 1 species